rnacentral:rRNA from 1 species
GACGAACGCUGGCGGCGUGCUUAACACAUGCAAGUCGAACGGAAAGGCCCUUCGGGGUACUCGAGUGGCGAACGGGUGAGUAACACGUGGGUGAUCUGCCCUGCACUUUGGGAUAAGCCUGGGAAACUGGGUCUAAUACCGAAUAGGACCACGGCCUUCGUGGGUUGGGGUGGAAAGCUUUUGCGGUGUGGGAUGGGCCCGCGGCCUAUCAGCUUGUUGGUGGGGUAAUGGCCUACCAAGGCGACAACGGGUAGCCGGCCUGGGAGGGUGUCCGGCCACACUGGGACUGAGAUACGGCCCAGACUCCUACGGGAGGCAGCAGUGGGGAAUAUUGCACAAUGGGCGCAAGCCUGAUGCAGCGACGCCGCGUGAGGGAUGACGGCCUUCGGGUUGUAAACCUCUUUCAGCAGGGACGAAGCGCAAGUGACGGUACCUGUAGAAGAAGGACCGGCCAACUACGUGCCAGCAGCCGCCGUAA